rnacentral:rRNA from 1 species
AAUGAACGCUGGCGGCGUGCUUUACACAUGCAAGUCGAGCGAGGCGUGUAGCAAUACACAGUCGAGCGGCGAACGGGUGAGUAACACGUGGAUUAUCUGCCCUGAGGUGGGGGAUAACCCGGGGAAACUCGGGCUAAUACCGCAUAUGACCGUGAGGUCAAAGGGGGGUCGCAAGACCUCUCGCCUUUGGAGGAGUCCGCGUCCGAUUAGCUAGUUGGUAGGUAAUGGCCACCAAGGCGACGAUCGGUAGCCGGCCUGAGAGGUGAUCGGCCACACUGGAACUGAGACACGGGUCCAGACUCCUACGGGAGGCAGCAGUGGGGAAUUUGGGCAAUGGCGAAAGCCUGACCCAGCAACGCCGCGUGAGGGAGGAAAUCCUUC